rnacentral:sRNA from 1 species
CUUCCUCGAUCUGCUGCGGGCAGAUGAAAUGGAUAUGGCUGUCAAAGCCGCCGGCUGUGAGGAUCUUGCCUUCUGCGGCGAUCACCUCGGUGCCGGGGCCGACAAUGAUGUCUACGCCGGGCUGCAUGUCGGGAUUGCCGGCCUUGCCGAUGGCGGCGAUGCGGCCGUCCUUCAAUCCGAUAUCGGCUUUGAAGAUGCCAGUGUGAUCGACCACCAGCGCAUUGGUGAUGACGGUAUCCACCGCACCAUCGGCGCGGGUAACCUGGCUUUGGCCCAUGCCGUCGCGGAU